ensembl:lncRNA
GACCAAAAGCCACGCCUCUCUGCCUCAUCUACCUCAUCUACAUCCUGCUCUCAAGGAUGUGGGCAGGCUGCCGUCAGUUCUCAUUUGCCUCCUGCACCAUGGCGAGCAUGUUUCCCAUCACUGUGUUUCUGUUGCUAAUUUACGCAGGAAUCUCACAAGGACAAAAUUUGACAACAUCAACAGUAACAGCUUCCACGUCGUCAUCAACAAAAGUGUCUACAUCAUCAUCAGCAGCAGCAGCUGCAGACACAUCCCCAAGCGCCCCUGUCAGUCCUGCUCUCACUACCACUAGCACUGCCUUAGCAGCUAGUGAGGCUAAGACAACAUCGGAAGCUGCAGCUACAGGUCAUCACUCCACACAACCAACGCAGCCUGCACAGUCCAGCGCCACAGCCAGUCACAAUGCCUCUGACUCCGCCAUCACAGAGGUGGCUGCUACACACACACCCUCUGUGAAUCAGUCAACACUCUCUCCAAACUCCUCGGCCUCCGGCAGACCCACGGCACGUGGACCACUCGUCUCGAGCACGAGCUCAAACACGGGUACAGCAAAGCUACUGUACAGGAGCCCAGGACUGGUAGCGGUUUUGUGCAUAUUCGUCAUCAUUCUGGCCUUACUGUUGGUGAUUGGGCUAACAAAGGGCUUGACCUCCAGUAAUUCAAAGUUUGAAAGACUGGAAGAAGUACCAAUGGGCAAAAUGAAUGAGGAAUCUCCAUUUGCACAGUACCCACCCAAAUGAACAAGUCAACUCAUGAGGCAUGACAGAGAGGACAAAUAAUUACUUCGAAAUAUUACUGUGUACAUGUGUAAACAAGUGUUUAUGAGGCAAAAUAAAUCAAAUAAAGG